rnacentral:piRNA from 1 species
UCUCAUGUGGCUGCAGAGGAUAUCUA